rnacentral:rRNA from 1 species
CUUCGGGGUACUCGAGUGGCGAACGGGUGAGUAACACGUGGGUGAUCUGCCCUGCACUUUGGGAUAAGCCUGGGAAACUGGGUCUAAUACCGAAUAGGACCACGCGCUUCAUGGUGUGUGGUGGAAAGCUUUUGCGGUGUGGGAUGGGCCCGCGGCCUAUCAGCUUGUUGGUGGGGUAAUGGCCUACCAAGGCGACGACGGGUAGCCGGCCUGAGAGGGUGACCGGCCACACUGGGACUGAGAUACGGCCCAGACUCCUACGGGAGGCAGCAGUGGGGAAUAUUGCACAAUGGGCGCAAGCCUGAUGCAGCGACGCCGCGUGAGGGAUGACGGCCUUCGGGUUGUAAACCUCUUUCAAUAGGGACGAAGCGCAAGUGACGGUACCUAUAGAAGAAGCACCGGCCAACUACGUGCCAGCAGCCGCGGUAAUACGUAGGGUGCGAGCGUUGUCCGGAAUUACUGGGCGUAAAGAGCUCGUAGGUGGUUUGUCGCGUUGUUCGUGAAAACUCACAGCUUAACUGUGGGCGUGCGGGCGAUACGGGCAGACUAGAGUACUGCAGGGGAGACUGGAAUUCCUGGUGUAGCGGUGGAAUGCGCAGAUAUCAGGAGGAACACCGGUGGCGAAGGCGGGUCUCUGGGCAGUAACUGACGCUGAGGAGCGAAAGCGUGGGGAGCGAACAGGAUUAGAUACCCUGGUAGUCCACGCNGUAAACGGUGGGUACUAGGUGUGGGUUCCUUCCUUGGGAUCCGUGCCGUAGCUAACGCAUUAAGUACCCCGCCUGGGGAGUACGGCCGCAAGGCUAAAACUCAAAGGAAUUGACGGGGGCCCGCACAAGCGGCGGAGCAUGUGGAUUAAUUCGAUGCAACGCGAAGAACCUUACCUGGGUUUGACAUGCACAGGACGCCGGCAGAGAUGUCGGUUCCCUUGUGGCCUGUGUGCAGGUGGUGCAUGGCUGUCGUCAGCUCGUGUCGUGAGAUGUUGGGUUAAGUCCCGCAACGAGCGCAACCCUUGUCCUAUGUUGCCAGCGGGUUAUGCCGGGGACUCGUAGGAGACUGCCGGGGUCAACUCGGAGGAAGGUGGGGAUGACGUCAAGUCAUCAUGCCCCUUAUGUCCAGGGYUUCACACAUGCUACAAAUGGCCGGUACAAAGGGCUGCGAUGCCGUGAGGUGGAGCGAAUCCUUUCAAAGCCGGUCUCAGUUCGGAUCGGGGUCUGCAACUCGACCCCGUGAAGUCGGAGUCGCUAGUAAUCGCAGAUCAGCAACGCUGCGGUGAAUACGUUCCCGGGCCUUGUACACACCGCCCGUCACGUCAUGAAAGUCGGUAACACCCGAAGCCGGU